AUUGAACGCUGGCGGCAGGCUUAACACAUGCAAGUCGAGCGGAGAUGAGGUGCUUGCACCUUAUCUUAGCGGCGGACGGGUGAGUAAUGCUUAGGAAUCUGCCUAUUAGUGGGGGACAACAUUCCGAAAGGAAUGCUAAUACCGCAUACGCCCUACGGGGGAAAGCAGGGGAUCUUCGGACCUUGCGCUAAUAGAUGAGCCUAAGUCGGAUUAGCUAGUUGGUGGGGUAAAGGCCUACCAAGGCGACGAUCUGUAGCGGGUCUGAGAGGAUGAUCCGCCACACUGGGACUGAGACACGGCCCAGACUCCUACGGGAGGCAGCAGUGGGGAAUAUUGGACAAUGGGGGAAACCCUGAUCCAGCCAUGCCGCGUGUGUGAAGAAGGCCUUAUGGUUGUAAAGCACUUUAAGCGAGGAGGAGGCUACUGAGACUAAUACUCUUGGAUAGUGGACGUUACUCGCAGAAUAAGCACCGGCUAACUCUGUGCCAGCCGCCGCAGUAAAAC
rnacentral:rRNA from 1 species